rnacentral:SRP_RNA from 1 species
GCCAGGCGCGGUGGCACGUGCUUGUAGUCCCAGUUACUCGGGAGACUGAGGUGGGAGAAUCCCUUGAGUCCAGGAGUUCUGAGUUGCAGUGCGCUAUGCCGAUCAGGUGUCUGCACUAAGUUCAGCAUCAAUAUGGUGACCUCCCAGGAGCGGGGGACCACCAGGUUGCCUAAGUAGGGGUGAACUGGCCCAGGUCAGAAACGGAGCAAGUCAAAACUCCCGUGCUGAUCAGCAGUGGGACUGCUCCUGUGAAUAGCCACUGCACUCCAGCCUGGGCAACAUAGUGAGACCCCGUCUCU